rnacentral:rRNA from 1 species
AGAACGAACGCUGGCGGCAUGCCUAAUACAUGCAAGUCGAACGAGACCUUCGGGUCUAGUGGCGCACGGGUGCGUAACGCGUGGGAAUCUACCCUUGGGUUCGGAAUAACAGUUGGAAACGACUGCUAAUACCGGAUGAUGACGAAAGUCCAAAGAUUUAUCGCCCAGGGAUGAGCCCGCGUAGGAUUAGCUAGUUGGUGAGGUAAAGGCUCACCAAGGCUACGAUCCUUAGCUGGUCUGAGAGGAUGAUCAGCCACACUGGGACUGAGACACGGCCCAGACUCCUACGGGAGGCAGCAGUAGGGAAUAUUGGACAAUGGGGGCAACCCUGAUCCAGCAAUGCCGCGUGAGUGAUGAAGGCCUUAGGUGUAAAGCUCUUUACCGAGAUGAUAAUGACGGUAUCGGAGAAUAAGCUCCGGCUAACUCCGUGCCAGCAGCCGC